UACGAAGGGGACUAGCGUUGUUCGGAAUUACUGGGCGUAAAGCGCACGUAGGCGGAUUUGUUAGUCAGGGGUGAAAGCCCGGGGCUCAACCCCGGGUCGGCCGUGCGAACUGUCGAGCUGGAGCACUGUAGAGGCAGGUGGAAUUCCGGGUGUAGCGGUGGAAUGCGUAGAGAUCCGGAAGAACACCGGUGGCGAAGGCGGCCUGCUGGGCAGUGGCUGACGCUGAGGCGCGACAGCGUGGGGAGCAAACAGG
rnacentral:rRNA from 1 species